ACUCAAAGGAAUUGACGGGGACCCGCACAAGCGGUGGAGCAUGUGGUUUAAUUCGAUGGUAAGCGGAGCACCUCACCAAGGUUUGACAUCUCAGUGAAAGGCACCAGAAAUGGAGCCCCUCUUCGGACACUGAAGACAGGUGCUGCACGGUUGUCGUCAGCUCGUGUUGUGAAAUGUACCGUUAAGUCGGAUAACGAGCGCAACCCCUAUUGCCAGUUUUACAUGUCUGGCGAGACUGCCGUGGUUAACACGGAGGAAGGUGGGGAUGACGUCAAAUCAGCGUGGCCUUUAUACCUUGGGCGACACACGUGCUACAAUGCGCAGGUCACAAUGGGUUGCAAAGCCGUAAGGUGGAGCUAAUCCCAACAAAACUGCGCUCAGUUCGGAUUGAGGGCUGCAACUCGCCCUCAUGAAGCCGGAAUCGCUAGUAACUGCAGAUCAGCCAUGCUGCGGUGAAUACGUUCUCGGGUCUUGUACACACCGCCCGU
rnacentral:rRNA from 1 species